rnacentral:rRNA from 1 species
GACGAACGCUGGCGGCGUGCUUAACACAUGCAAGUCGAACGGAAAGGCCUGCUUUCCCUUGUGGAUUGCGGGUACUCGAGUGGCGAACGGGUGAGUAACACGUGAGUGAUCUGCCCCCAACUUGGGUAUAAGCCUGGGAAACUGGGUCUAAUUCCCGAUAGGACUGCAGGGUGGUGCCUGUGGUGGAAAACGAUUUUCUAGUGGUUGGGGAUGCGCUCGCGGCCUAUCAGCUUGUUGGUGGGGUAAUGGCCUACCAAGGCGGCGACGGGUAGCCGGCCUGAGGGGGUGGACGGUCACAUUGGGACUGGGAUACGGCCCAGACGCCUACGGGAGGCAGCAGUGGGGAAUAUUGCACAAUGGGCGGAAGCCUGAUGCAGCGACGCCGCGUGGGGGAUGACGGCCUUCGGGUUGUAAACUCCUUUCGACCGCGAGGAAGCCACCUGGUUGGAAGGGUGGUGACGGUAGUGGUAGAAGAAGCACCGGCUAACUACGUG